UAUCGAUAGCGUAAAAGUUAAAUUUGUAUGGAGUUGGAAAGAUUGCCUGCGUUUGCCGCUAGGGGCGCUGUUCCAAACUGCAUACAAAUUUGAGUUAACUUUAACGCCAUCGA
rnacentral:pre_miRNA from 9 species